rnacentral:rRNA from 1 species
UACGGGGGGGGCAAGCGUUGUUCGGAAUUACUGGGCGUAAAGGGCGCGUAGGCGGUCGAACAAGUCAGCUGUGAAAACCACGGGCUUAACUCGUGGCCUGCAGUUGAAACUGUUUGGCUAGAGUGUGGGAGAGGAGAGUGGAAUUCCUGGUGUAGCGGUGAAAUGCGUAGAUAUCAGGAGGAACACCGGUGGCGAAGGCGGCUCUCUGGACCACAACUGACGCUGAGGCGCGAAAGCCAGGGGAGCAAACAGGAUUAGAUACCCUGGUAGUCCUGGCCGUAAACGAUGGAUACUUGGUGUAGGGGGUGUUAAAUCCCCCUGUGCCGGAGCUAACGCGUUAAGUAUCCCGCCUGGGGAGUACGGUCGCAAGGCUGAA